rnacentral:rRNA from 1 species
ACGCUGGCGGCAGGCCUAACACAUGCAAGUCGAGCGGUAGAGAGAAGCUUGCUUCUCUUGAGAGCGGCGGACGGGUGAGUAAUGCCUAGGAAUCUGCCUGGUAGUGGGGGAUAACGUCCGGAAACGGACGCUAAUACCGCAUACGUCCUACGGGAGAAAGCAGGGGACCUUCGGGCCUUGCGCUAUCAGAUGAGCCUAGGUCGGAUUAGCUAGUUGGUGGGGUAAUGGCUCACCAAGGCGACGAUCCGUAACUGGUCUGAGAGGAUGAUCAGUCACACUGGAACCGAGACACGGUCCAGACUCCUACGGGAGGCAGCAGUGGGGAAUAUUGGACAAUGGGCGAAAGCCUGAUCCAGCCAUGCCGCGUGUGUGAAGAAGGUCUUCGGAUUGUAAAGCACUUUAAGUUGGGAGGAAGGGCAGUUACCUAAUACGUGAUUGUUUUGACGUUACCGACAGAAUAAGCACCGGCUAACUCUGUGCCAGCAGCCGCGGUAAUACAGAGGGUGCAAGCGUUAAUCGGAAUUACUGGGCGUAAAGCGCGCGUAGGUGGUUCGUUAAGUUGGAUGUGAAAUCCCCGGGCUCAACCUGGGAACUGCAUUCAAAACUGACGAGCUAGAGUAUGGUAGAGGGUGGUGGAAUUUCCUGUGUAGCGGUGAAAUGCGUAGAUAUAGGAAGGAACACCAGUGGCGAAGGCGACCACCUGGACUGAUACUGACACUGAGGUGCGAAAGCGUGGGGAGCAAAC